CCGUGUUAAUCGAGGCCCUUUUGCCUUCAGAGGUCGAGGCCGUCGAUUCGACGAUCGGUGAUCGAGCCGUUGAUUCGGCGAUCGACGAUCGAGCCGUGUUGGUCGAGGCCCUUUUGCCUUCAGAGACCGAGGCCGUCGAUUCGACGAUCGACGAUCGAGCCAUGGAUUCGGCGAUCGACGAUCGAGCCACGUUGGUCAGCGAUUGAGCCAUUGAUUCGGUGAUCGAUGAUCGGGCUAUUUUGGUUG
rnacentral:lncRNA from 1 species